CUCAGUGAGGCGUCCGGACUGGCCCAGAGAGGUGGGCAACUACCACUCAGGGCCGGAAAGCUCUCCAAACUCGGUCAUUUAGAGGAAGUAAAAGUCGUAACAAGGUCUCCGUUGGUGAACCAGCGGAGGGAUCAUUACCGAGUUUACAACUCCCAAACCCCUGUGAACAUACCAAUUGUUGCCUCGGCGGAUCAGCCCGCUCCCGGUAAAACGGGACGGCCCGCCAGAGGACCCCUAAACUCUGUUUCUAUAUGUAACUUCUGAGUAAAACCAUAAAUAAAUCAAAACUUUCAACAACGGAUCUCUUGGUUCUGGCAUCGAUGAAGAACGCAGCAAAAUGCGAUAAGUAAUGUGAAUUGCAGAAUUCAGUGAAUCAUCGAAUCUUUGAACGCACAUUGCGCCCGCCAGUAUUCUGGCGGGCAUGCCUGUUCGAGCGUCAUUUCAACCCUCAAGCCCAGCUUGGUGUUGGGACUCGCGAGUUAAACCGCGUUCCCCAAAUUGAUUGGCGGUCACGUCGAGCUUCCAUAGCGUAGUAGUAAAACCCUCGUUACUGGUAAUCGUCGCGGCCACGCCGUUAAACCCCAACUUCUGAAUGUUGACCUCGGAUCAGGUAGGAAUACCCGCUGAACUUAAGCAUAUCAAUAAGCGGAGGAAAAGAAACCAACAGGGAUUGCCCUAGUAACGGCGAGUGAAGCGGCAACAGCUCAAAUUUGAAAUCUGGCUCUCGGGCCCGAGUUGUAAUUUGUAGAGGAUACUUUUGAUGCGGUGCCUUCCGAGUUCCCUGGAACGGGACGCCAUAGAGGGUGAGAGCCCCGUCUGG
rnacentral:rRNA from 1 species